rnacentral:rRNA from 1 species
GGUUAAGCGACUAAGCGUACACGGUGGAUGCCCUGGCAGUCAGAGGCGAUGAAGGACGUGCUAAUCUGCGAAAAGCGUCGGUAAGGUGAUAUGAACCGUUAUAACCGGCGAUGUCCGAAUGGGGAAACCCAGUGCAAUUCGUUGCACUAUCGUUAACUGAAUACAUAGGUUAACGAGGCGAACCGGGGGAACUGAAACAUCUAAGUACCCCGAGGAAAAGAAAUCAACCGAGAUUCCCCCAGUAGCGGCGAGCGAACGGGGAGCAGCCCAGAGUCUGAAUCAGCUUGUGUGUUAGUGGAACGGUCUGGAAAGUCCGACGGUACAGGGUGAUAGUCCCGUACACCAAAAUGCACAGGUUGUGAACUCGAAGAGUAGGGCGGGACACGUGGUAUCCUGUCUGAAUAUGGGGGGACCAUCCUCCAAGGCUAAAUACUCCUGACUGACCGAUAGUGAACCAGUACCGUGAGGGAAAGGCGAAAAGAACCCCGGCGAGGGGAGUGAAAAAGAACCUGAAACCGUGUACGUACAAGCAGUGGGAGCACCUUCGGGUGUGACUGCGUACCUUUUGUAUAAUGGGUCAGCGACUUAUAUUCUGUAGCAAGGUUAACCGUAUAGGGGAGCCGCAGGGAAACCGAGUCUUAACUGGGCGUUAAGUUGCAGGGUAUAGACCCGAAACCCGGUGAUCUAGCCAUGGGCAGGUUGAAGGUUGGGUAACACUAACUGGAGGACCGAACCGACUAAUGUUGAAAAAUUAGCGGAUGACUUGUGGCUGGGGGUGAAAGGCCAAUCAAACCGGGAGAUAGCUGGUUCUCCCCGAAAGCUAUUUAGGUAGCGCCUCGUGAAUUCAUCUUCGGGGGUAGAGCACUGUUUCGGCUAGGGGGUCAUCCCGACUUACCAACCCGAUGCAAACUACGAAUACCGAAGAAUGUUAUCACGGGAGACACACGGCGGGUGCUAACGUCCGUCGUGAAGAGGGAAACAACCCAGACCGCCAGCUAAGGUCCCAAAGUCACAGUUAAGUGGGAAACGAUGUGGGAAGGCACAGACAGCCAGGAUGUUGGCUUAGAAGCAGCCAUCAUUUAAAGAAAGCGUAAUAGCUCACUGGUCGAGUCGGCCUGCGCGGAAGAUGUAACGGGGCUAAACUGUGCACCGAAGCUGCGGCAGCGACACUAUGUGUUGUUGGGUAGGGGAGCGUUCUGUAAGCCUGCGAAGGUGGCCUGUGAGGGUUGCUGGAGGUAUCAGAAGUGCGAAUGCUGACAUAAGUAACGAUAAUGCGGGUGAAAAGCCCGCACGCCGGAAGACCAAGGGUUCCUGUCCAACGUUAAUCGGGGCAGGGUGAGUCGACCCCUAAGGCGAGGCCGAAAGGCGUAGUCGAUGGGAAACAGGUUAAUAUUCCUGUACUUGGUGUUACUGCGAAGGGGGGACGGAGAAGGCUAUGUUAGCCGGGCGACGGUUGUCCCGGUUUAAGCAUGUAGGCGGAGGUUCCAGGUAAAUCCGGUACCUUUUUAACGCUGAGGUGUGAUGACGAGGCACUACGGUGCUGAAGUAACAAAUGCCCUGCUUCCAGGAAAAGCCUCUAAGCAUCAGGUAACAUUAAAUCGUACCCCAAACCGACACAGGUGGUCAGGUAGAGAAUACCAAGGCGCUUGAGAGAACUCGGGUGAAGGAACUAGGCAAAAUGGUGCCGUAACUUCGGGAGAAGGCACGCUGAUAUGUAGGUGAAGCCCCUGCGGGUGGAGCUGAAAUCAGUCGAAGAUACCAGCUGGCUGCAACUGUUUAUUAAAAACACAGCACUGUGCAAACACGAAAGUGGACGUAUACGGUGUGACGCCUGCCCGGUGCCGGAAGGUUAAUUGAUGGGGUUAUCCGUAAGGAGAAGCUCUUGAUCGAAGCCCCGGUAAACGGCGGCCGUAACUAUAACGGUCCUAAGGUAGCGAAAUUCCUUGUCGGGUAAGUUCCGACCUGCACGAAUGGCGUAAUGAUGGCCAGGCUGUCUCCACCCGAGACUCAGUGAAAUUGAACUCGCUGUGAAGAUGCAGUGUACCCGCGGCAAGACGGAAAGACCCCGUGAACCUUUACUAUAGCUUGACACUGAACAUUGAGCCUUGAUGUGUAGGAUAGGUGGGAGGCUUUGAAGCGUGGACGCCAGUCUGCGUGGAGCCAACCUUGAAAUACCACCCUUUAAUGUUUGAUGUUCUAACGUUGGCCCCUUAUCGGGGUUGCGGACAGUGUCUGGUGGGUAGUUUGACUGGGGCGGUCUCCUCCCAAAGAGUAACGGAGGAGCACGAAGGUUAGCUAAUCCUGGUCGGACAUCAGGAGGUUAGUGCAAUGGCAUAAGCUAGCUUGACUGCGAGCGUGACGGCGCGAGCAGGUGCGAAAGCAGGUCAUAGUGAUCCGGUGGUUCUGAAUGGAAGGGCCAUCGCUCAACGGAUAAAAGGUACUCCGGGGAUAACAGGCUGAUACCGCCCAAGAGUUCAUAUCGACGGCGGUGUUUGGCACCUCGAUGUCGGCUCAUCACAUCCUGGGGCUGAAGUAGGUCCCAAGGGUAUGGCUGUUCGCCAUUUAAAGUGGUACGCGAGCUGGGUUUAGAACGUCGUGAGACAGUUCGGUCCCUAUCUGCCGUGGGCGCUGGAGAAUUGAGGGGGGCUGCUCCUAGUACGAGAGGACCGGAGUGGACGCAUCACUGGUGUUCGGGUUGUCAUGCCAAUGGCAUUGCCCGGUAGCUAAAUGCGGAAGAGAUAAGUGCUGAAAGCAUCUAAGCACGAAACUUGCCCCGAGAUGAGUUCUCCCUGAGACUUUAAGUCUCCUGAAGGAACGUUAAAGACGAUGACGUUGAUAGGUCGGGUGUGUAAGCGUAGCGAUACGUUGAGCUAACCGAUACUAAUGAACCGUGAGGCUUAACCUU